CCCUUAGAUGUCCUGGGCCGCACGCGCGUUACACUGAUGCAUUCAACGAGCUUAUAACCUUGGCCGAGAGGCCUGGGCAAUCUUGUUAACGUGCAUCGUGAUAGGGAUAGAUUAUUGAAAUUAUUAAUCUUGAACGAGGAAUUCCUAGUAAACGCAGAUCAUCAAUCUGCAUUGAUUACGUCCCUGCCCUUUGUACACACCGCCCGUCGCACCUACCGAUUGGAUGGUCCGGUGAAGCCUCGGGAUUGUGGUUCUUGCCGCUUUAUUGUGGCGUGACCGCGAGAACUUGCCUAAACCUUAUCAUCUAGAGGAAGGUGAAGUCGUAACA
rnacentral:rRNA from 1 species